AAAAGUAUUUUAAUGAAAAAUGAGGGAUUUUGAUACCCUUGAUAUGAGGUCCGCUUCUCAUUUUUUCAA
rnacentral:tRNA from 1 species